UGUAGCCCUCCCUGUCCCUGGGCUCGGGCCCCAGGCCCUGGCCUGGGGAGGAGGAGGAGGGUGCUGGCUCCUUCCUCCCCAGCUGAGCCCUCCCAGCUGUGCGUGCUGGGAACAGGCCAGGCGUUUGGGAAACCCUCGGGUGAGCCUGACCGCUGUCAUGAGGACUUGCCUGUGGACGCUGGGCUGGGGGAGGGGGAGGGGGCUGUUCCCAGAAGCCGGGAGAACUCUGGACUUCCCACUCCCGGGCUCUGGAUUGCAGCACCACCUUAAGCAACAGCCGCGUCCUGGAAGGCUGCUUUGCGGAGUAAAAAGCCCCGGGCCCUUUUCUGAAGAGGGCCCCGCCUUGGGAAGAAGCUGCAAAACCCAGACUUCAAACAAGCAUUCCAAGGACAACAAAGGAUCCGAGUAUUUACAUGGCACAAGAGUGUUUCCUCCCUUCCACGUCCCUCCCCCCGCAGUCUCAACCUUAGAAUGGCGGUGGAGGGCCGGGGCUGGGCUCAGCCGGUUACGCUGCUGCCCGCCACUCCAGCUUCCCAGGUGGGCGCCAGUCCCCGUCCCGGCUGCUCUGCUUCUGCUCCGGCUCCCUGCUAACGCACCUGGGAAAAGCAGUGGGGGGUGGGGGAGAGCUUGGGUGCCUGCCAUCCAUGCGGGAGGCCUAGAUGAAGCUUCUGGCGGUUGCGGCCGUUUAAGGAGUGAACCAGUGGAUGGAAGACCUCUCCGCUCUCUCUAUAACUCUGCUUUUCAAAGUAAAUCAAUCUUCUCUUCUCUCUUUUCCCCAGGAAAUAAUAAAUCAAUCUUUGAAAAAAAGAAAUCUUGGAGUCAUUUUGUACAGAUAAAUUUACUUCCUACCUAUAAUGUACAAGAUGUUGAAGGUACAGACAUGGACUAUAAAUCCAUCAAGCCCCACCCUCUGGCACAACUCCAGGGGGCGCAACAGGAGGAGGCCAGGCCCGGGGCCGGGGAGGCGCUGGUGCCGCAGGGGCUCCUCCACUUGAGGGUGCCACAGGAGAUGCUGGAGGUGACACCAGGGGAUACGCAGGAGGCUCGCAUUCUGAAGCGGAACCAGAUGUCAAAACCAAGAAGUCUCCUAAAAAGGACUGGGUGUAAAAAUAACAGAGCUCGCAGGGGCAGCUGGGGGUGCCCGGAGGAAAUGACCCCUCCCGGCUUCCCAGAAGGGAUGACUGGCGAGAGCAGAGGAAAGGCGAGGCGGCAGGUGCUUCGUCCACGGGCUCCCGAGGACGAGGACGGGGCAUUCUACAAUACCAGCAUCGGGGAAACAGCUGGAAACGGGAAACGCUGGGGACCUCCGCGAAGUUCCGCCAUGCCCUCCGCCAUGCUGGCCUCAGCCGAGUGA